rnacentral:tRNA from 2 species
CGCGGGGUGGAGCAGUUGGUAGCUCGUCGGGCUCAUAACCCGAAGGUCGCGUGGUUCAAGUCCCGUCCCCGCAACCA